rnacentral:lncRNA from 1 species
GGACUGAUUGAGGGUGCGCGGUCCCGCCUGCCAGCUACUGGUCUCUGCGCACGCGCACCUGUAGAGACUGCGCCGUCCACCCUCUCGCGCCAUCUAAGAUGGUAGUCGUAGAGCCGUAAGAACUUUAGCAUGGUACUGGGUCAUCAUCUCCGGAGCUAGAAGUUUCCCCUGCCUCCUUCCCCUUCCACUCUGAUCGCUUCGUGGUGCUCUGUGCCUCAAGUCUCUCUGUGGGCAGCCCCCUCUCCAGUGACUGUCCAAGCAAGCUCCCUAGUGCCGGGGCUCCAUCCAGAGUUGGAAAAUACUCUUUCUUUUAGCGAACGCUACCGUCAUCCUAUGUCCCCUAGACUGAUGGAUUGGACCGUUUUAUUAUUAUUUUUUAGACAGGGGUUUUCUCUGUCCUGGAACUCACUCUGUAGACCAGGCUGGCCUCGAACUCAGAAAUCCGCCUGCCUCUGCCUCCCAGGUGCUGGGAUUAAAGGCGUGCGCCACCACCGCCCAGCUGGAUUGGACCUUUUUAACUAGGCUUUGGAGUGCUCUUUGAAUUUGUGCCUAUAAACCUGGUGAUACUGAGUGAUGGUUUGUUUCUAGUUUUCUUUUUUUGUAAAGGUAGGUCUAGUACUUGUUACUUACCCCUGGCUGUCUUCAAACCCACCACAGUCCCUCUGUCAGCCUCUCGUGUGCAUGGCCACUCCAGGCUUGAGUGCAAAUUCGGCACAUUUGUGCAUGUAUAUGCUUUCCCUCCUUUUUUUGUUUUUCCCGUUCUGUCUAGCCUGUUAACUAUGUAGCCCAGGCUGGGAUUACAUGCUUUUCUCGACUUUUCCUGGGUUUCUGUUUGUUUGAUUGUUUGUUUAGUUUGGUUGCUUUGUUUUGGGUUGAGUAAAGGGUUAAGGGUUCACACACUCCCAUCUGAUAGUCGUUGCUCCUCUCUGGACUUCCGGUGUAGCACCUCGCUGGUGUGGUUUGGUGUGGGGGAUGGGCACCUUUGAAGGUCCACCCCGAGACUGAGCGCCUUCAGAGGCAGGGUCCUGUUCACUAAGAUUUCUAGGUCCCCUGGCAUGUUGGGGAAAGCAUGGCAAAGUCUCAGCGGAUUCCUUUCCGGUGCCCCACGCCUCAGUAGAGAGACGGCUUGUUGAGAAUGAGGUGUAGCCUGGGUUUCCAGGGCGUGGGGGAAACAGCUCAACCUCUGCCACCCACUUCCGCUACCUAUCUCCGACCCACAGCCAACUCCCCUCAGAAGUCUCACACUGUACUUGGCCAUAAAGCGUUUAAUUUU